rnacentral:rRNA from 1 species
UAGGGAAUCUUCGGCAAUGGGGGGAACCCUGACCGAGCAACGCCGCGUGAGUGAAGAAGGUUUUCGGAUCGUAAAACUCUGUUGUUAGGGAAGAAAAAAUGUAUAGUAACUAUAUACAAAAGAGACGGUACCUAACCAGAAAGCCACGGCUAACUACGUGCCAGCAGCCGCGGUAAUACGUAGGUGGCAAGCGUUGUCCGGAAUUAUUGGGCGUAAAGCGCGCGCAGGUGGUUUAGAAAGUCUGAUGUGAAAGCCCACGGCUCAACCGUGGAGGGUCAUUGGAAACUAAUAAACUUGAGUGCAGGAGAGAAAAGUGGAAUUCCUAGUGUAGCGGUGAAAUGCGUAGAGAUUAGGAGGAACACCGGUGGCGAAAGCGGCUUUUUGGCCUGCAACUGACACUGAGGCGCGAAAGCGUGGGGAGCAAACAGG